rnacentral:lncRNA from 1 species
UAAAAAUAGUAUAAUAAUUUUACAAUAUUCAAAAGUGGUCGAACUAGCCGUUAAGUAAUUUGAACUAGUCAAACUAGCCGUUGGAGAAGUUUUUUUUUUUUUUUAAUUUUAGCAAAAGCAUCUAACAUCUAUAUUGUCACGCCCCGUGCCUUCCCAUUUGGUCGGGUUUGGGCACGCCAACAGACUGCCGAACGGACAGGAUUUUUUCUAUACCGCGGACAGAGUCUUCCUUGUACGUCCAAGGCGUCGCAAUCAAUACAAUGUACAAAGUUCCAACCAGGAACACAUCUCAACCAAAGAUUGCAUAAGGAAGUAUCAAAAACAUAAAUUUACUUGCUAUUACAAGCAUUCACACUAGAUAUAUCUUUACAUCACAAUUCUCUUUUACAAUCAACUUUCAAAUACAAUCAAGAUUUUAAAAUUUAUUACAACUUGUUCUUUUUCUUUUUCCUUUACCCCUAGGCUAUGCCGACUCGGGGUAUUGCUAUCUCUGGUCUCCGGAUAUGGCGCUAUCUACGGAGCUACGCUCUUGCCUCGCACCGCCGUGCCACCCACGUGUGAACUUGUAACACCCCAAAACAACAUGGGGUGAGAACCAACUCCAUGAUUCCCAGUAGGUACGGCCACCCAAGGAAAAAGCUCAACCAAUAGGUCCAAGGAGGCACUGCAAUUAUGUUAGUCCAAAAAAACAUCUAUCGAU